AGAGUUUGAUCCUGGCUCAGGAUGAACGCUGGCGGCGUGCCUAAUACAUGCAAGUCGAACGAACUUCCGUUAAUUGAUUAUGACGUACUUGUACUGAUUGAGAUUUUAACACGAAGUGAGUGGCGGACGGGUGAGUAACACGUGGGUAACCUGCCCAGAAGUAGGGGAUAACACCUGGAAACAGAUGCUAAUACCGUAUAACAGAGAAAACCGCAUGGUUUUCUUUUAAAAGAUGGCUCUGCUAUCACUUUUGGAUGGACCCGCGGCGUAUUAGCUAGUUGGUGAGGUAAAGGCUCACCAAGGCAGUGAUACGUAGCCGACCUGAGAGGGUAAUCGGCCACAUUGGGACUGAGACACGGCCCAGACUCCUACGGGAGGCAGCAGUAGGGAAUCUUCCACAAUGGACGCAAGUCUGAUGGAGCAACGCCGCGUGAGUGAAGAAGGGUUUCGGCUCGUAAAGCUCUGUUGUUAAAGAAGAACGUGGGUAAGAGUAACUGUUUACCCAGUGACGGUAUUUAACCAGAAAGCCACGGCUAACUACGUGCCAGCAGCCGCGGUAAUACGUAGGUGGCAAGCGUUAUCCGGAUUUAUUGGGCGUAAAGCGAGCGCAGGCGGUCUUUUAAGUCUAAUGUGAAAGCCUUCGGCUCAACCGAAGAAGUGCAUUGGAAACUGGGAGACUUGAGUGCAGAAGAGGACAGUGGAACUCCAUGUGUAGCGGUGAAAUGCGUAGAUAUAUGGAAGAACACCAGUGGCGAAGGCGGCUGUCUGGUCUGCAACUGACGCUGAGGCUCGAAAGCAUGGGUAGCGAACAGGAUUAGAUACCCUGGUAGUCCAUGCCGUAAACGAUGAUUACUCAAGUGUUGGAGGGUUUCCGCCCUUCAGUGCUGCAGCUAACGCAUUAAGUAAUCCGCCUGGGGAGUA
rnacentral:rRNA from 1 species